rnacentral:lncRNA from 1 species
AUUUAACUCCCUCUCUAAAACACAGAGUUUAGUCAAAACCCUUUUUGUCUAUAGACAUAGAGUGAACGUUUAAUUUGGCUCUGGAAGCUGUGCUGAAGAAACCACUCAGGAGGCCAGAGGGGAUGUCUGUGGUUUAUACAGGAGAGGAUCACUGGGGCAGACUUGAACCAUGGUGCCCACAAGUGGGGAGGGUGCUCCAGCGGCCAUGGAAAGAACUUCCUUCUGCAGUUGGAGACAGCCUUCUGUGUGGGCUGAAGGACAGAGUGUGAUUUUCUACUUGGAAGAGACUCCAGGGCUCUGCAGAGAGGGAAGCCCUGCUGACCCAUUUCAGCAGACUGUGACACUUCAGCGACCUGCAAAUUCUACACAUUAGAGUUCAUAUUUUAUACAAACUCCGUACACCUAAGAUGUGGACUUAACAUUUCUACCAACAACAUCCAACUUCCAACAAAAGAUGCAGGCCCAUCAGAAGAUGAAAGCUACUAAUGAAGAUGCAUUAAAGAUGAUAUUUAUGGCCACCCCUUAGGGAAAAAAAGAUUCAUAAAUAAUUUCAUGGAAA